UGGUGGAGUGAUUUGUCUGGUUAAUUCCGUUAACGAACGAGACCUCAGCCUGCUAACUAGCUAUGUGGAGGUACACCUCCACGGCCAGCUUCUUAGAGGGACUAUGGCCGCUUAGGCCAAGGAAGUUUGAGGCAAUAACA
rnacentral:rRNA from 1 species